CACUAUCGUUAACUGAAUACAUAGGUUAACGAGGCGAACCGGGGGAACUGAAACAUCUAAGUACCCCGAGGAAAAGAAAUCAACCGAGAUUCCCCCAGUAGCGGCGAGCGAACGGGGAGCAGCCCGGAGUCUGAAUCAGCUUGUGUGUUAGUGGAACGGUCUGGAAAGUCCGACGGUACAGGGUGAUAGUCCCGUACACGAAAACACACUUGCUGUGAACUCGAAGAGUAGGGCGGGACACGUGGUAUCCUGUCUGAAUAUGGGGGGACCAUCCUCCAAGGCUAAAUACUCCUGACUGACCGAUAGUGAACCAGUACCGUGAGGGAAAGGCGAAAAGAACCCCGGCGAGGGGAGUGAAAAAGAACCUGAAACCGUGUACGUACAAGCAGUGGGAGCACCUUCGGGUGUGACUGCGUACCUUUUGUAUAAUGGGUCAGCGACUUAUAUUCUGUAGCAAGGUUAACCGUAUAGGGGAGCCGAAGGGAAACCGAGUCUUAACUGGGCGUUAAGUUGCAGGGUAUAGACCCGAAACCCGGUGAUCUAGCCAUGGGCAGGUUGAAGGUUGGGUAACACUAACUGGAGGACCGAACCGACUAAUGUUGAAAAAUUAGCGGAUGACCUGUGGCUGGGGGUGAAAGGCCAAUCAAACCGGGAGAUAGCUGGUUCUCCCCGAAAGCUAUUUAGGUAGCGCCUCGUGAACUCAUCUUCGGGGGUAGAGCACUGUUUCGGCUAGGGGGCCAUCCCGGCUUACCAACCCGAUGCAAACUACGAAUACCGAAGAAUGUUAUCACGGGAGACACACGGCGGGUGCUAACGUCCGUCGUGAAGAGGGAAACAACCCAGACCGCCAGCUAAGGUCCCAAAGUCAUGGUUAAGUGGGAAACGAUGUGGGAAGGCACAGACAGCCAGGAUGUUGGCUUAGAAGCAGCCAUCAUUUAAAGAAAGCGUAAUAGCUCACUGGUCGAGUCGGCCUGCGCGGAAGAUGUAACGGGGCUAAACCAUGCACCGAAGCUGCGGCAGCGACACU
rnacentral:rRNA from 1 species